rnacentral:rRNA from 1 species
GACGAACGCUGGCGGCGUGCUUAACACAUGCAAGUCGAACGGAAAGGCCCUGCUUUUGUGGGGUGCUCGAGUGGCGAACGGGUGAGUAACACGUGAGUAACCUGCCCUUGACUUUGGGAUAACUUCAGGAAACUGGGGCUAAUACCGGAUAGGAGCUCCUGCUGCAUGGUGGGGGUUGGAAAGUUUCGGCGGUUGGGGAUGGACUCGCGGCUUAUCAGCUUGUUGGUGGGGUAGUGGCUUACCAAGGCUUUGACGGGUAGCCGGCCUGAGAGGGUGACCGGCCACAUUGGGACUGAGAUACGGCCCAGACUCCUACGGGAGGCAGCAGUGGGGAAUAUUGCACAAUGGGCGGAAGCCUGAUGAAGAGACGCCGCGUGCGGGAUGACGGCCUUCGGGUUGUAAACCGCUUUCGCCUGUGACGAAGCGUGAGUGACGGUAAUGGGUAAAGAAGCACCGGCUAACUACGUG